AGUCAAUGAUCGAAAGAUUGAUCUAGUUACUUAGAAAGAUGAUUUAUCAAUAUACAUCGGAAAGAAAGAACAUUGUUUUUUCUUUCAGAAAUUUGAAUAAAAUUAGAAAAAAGAUAAAAUUGAUUAAAAAUAAAAUCUAAAUUAUAGAGAAAAUAAUGAUAAUCUAUAAUAAUAGUCUUAACCAAAAAUAGUGCCAGCAGUUGCGGUUACACUAUGAAGGCUAACGUUAAUCAUUAAGGCUUAAAGGAUCCGUAGAACGAUAUAUAAUUUUCUAACUAAAAAGGACUAAGAUUUGAAUAAAAUUAAGAAAUUAGGAGAAAAUUAAUAAAAAUAUAUUAGAGUUUUAAGUAUGAUUAAAGAAUAAUUAUAGUAAAGAUGAAAUAAUUAUGAUAAUAAUUAGACUGUUAAAGGUGAAAACAUUAAUCAAAAAUAAAACUGACGUUGAGGGAUGAAGGCAUAAGUAGCAAAACGGAUUCGAUACCCGAUUAGUUUAUGCAGUAAACGAUGAAUACUUCUAUAAAUAAAAUUUGUAGUAAGUGAAAACGUAAGUAUUCCGCCUGGUGAGUAUAUUCGCAAGGAUGAAAUCCAAGACAAUAGACGGUUACAGAUAAAGGCAGUGGAUUGUGUUAU
rnacentral:rRNA from 1 species